UUAAAGGGCUGCAGUAUAUUGACUGUACAAAGGUAGCAUAAUCAUUAGUCAUUUAAUUGAUGACUUGUAUGAAGGAUUGGAUGAAAUAUAAACUGUCUCUUAAUUAUAUUUAGAAUUUAAUUUUUUAAUUAAAAAGUUAAAAUAAAUUAGAAAGACGAGAAGACCCUAUAGAGUUUUAUAAGUAAAAUUAAUUGAGAUUAUUUGUAAAGGUUAAAAUUAAGAUUAAUUUAUUUAUUUUGUUGGGGUGACAGAAAAAUAUAAAAAACUUUUUAUAUGUUUAAAACAUUAAUAAGUGGUUAAAUGAUCCAAUAUUAUUGAUUAUAAGAAAAAAUUACCUUAGGGAUAACAGCGUAAUUUUUUUUUUUAGUUCACAUAAAAAAAAAAGUUUGCGACCUCGAUGUUGGAUUAAGAUAAAAUUUAAAUGCAGAAG
rnacentral:rRNA from 1 species